CUCCUGUGAAGCAUAUCUACCAUUUUCGUGCAAAGCUCUCUGGAAAGCGUAUUGACUGUGUAUGCAUGCAUGCAUCUAUCGAACUUCGUGCACAUAUAGACGUGAUGCUUUGACGAUAAAUACUUAUUAAAAUUCAAAUUAUUUAUUUCUGCCUUGUAAAGGUACAGACAGCAGAGGCGCAGAAAAAGCUGUCAGAUACAGAUUGACAAAGCCGCAGCCCCCUUUCGCUUGGCAGAGCCUUUACAGCGACACUUUUAAAACAAAGACAAUUGCACCCGGUAAUAACAGGUAUACAAUACUGAGCAAGUACAAAAGGAAACCAAUCAAGAUUAUACGAUAUUUGUACAAUACUCCCAAACAAGGAAACAGAACCUACAUGCUAACGUACAUAGCACCCAAAGUACUGUUCGACACGUUGAAGAAGUCAAAAUUAUUGUUCACAUAAGGUAUAUACAUAUUCGUAUAGCGCUACCAAUCCCUUCAAAAUAUAGAACGCAGAUUUUCAUUACACACACGCACGCACGCACGUGCACAGCACACACACCAAAAGGAAACGGCAACGCGCUCACAGGAAGCGCCUGAAAAACGAAAAAAAAAAAGGAAAAGUGUGGGGAACCGAGGUCGUCUUGGGCUGUCGCCUCUCCCUCUCCCAGAAGGAAUGAAGAGGUUCUUGGAAAGCAGGGACGGGCGAUUCUCUCUGUCAGCAUCAGCUCCCACCAGCGAGGACGGGGCGAGAAAGCGAAACGGGACUUUCCUUGCUGUCUAUUUUUUCUUCGUCAGGCCAACGCCGCUUGCUUGCAGGGGCGCAGGCGAGUUCCCGCCAAAUGGCGCGGGUGCGUGAGUUGCCGCCAAAUGCUAGCUCUGGAUGCCAGCUCGUUCCGCGUCUCAUGGUAGACUAGUUGGUGCAUUUCUGUUAUCAUGGACUGCGCAUAUAAACGCAAGCUACACAAAAGUGACAUGGACAAGAACAGCGCAAGCCUUUUACAUGCAGUGGAGCCGCCGUAUCUCGCCGUUCAAGAUAUGCGUACUCGAAAAAAAAAAAAAAAAGAGGCUUUACAUGAGAACGGAUCAAGCGUUCGAGAGUUGGGACAGGGAAAUGUGAGACGUACGUAUGUAUAUAUUUCUAAUAUUAUUUUUUCGUCUUGUAUUCUCGUUAAUUUUUCUCUAGGAAACACUGGAACGACACUGCUUAAAUUGAAGCACAGUGUGCGAAUGACCUGCUACGCUCGGAACUGUUAUCACCAUUCGGGAAGAAAUUGGAUGAAAAAACAUAACCGUAAAUACCUGUAUGAUAUACGUCUGGUGCAUUGCAGGUAAGAAUGGAUUGUGUGUGGCGCGCUUCACCGCAUGUGGACUAGAGUAGAUCUAGGAACAUCAGACAAGAAGACACGUAUGUGAAACCCUGCGGAUAGCCCAUAUGUGAACUUUUUUUCCAGAUACGGGGGAACGGACACCGGUCGUGCCGUGAGCACUAUUCUGCAGGGCAUACUUACAAAUGAAGCUGCACUGCAGUUCAGCUGGAAAGGGUCGCAGGGGAGGAAGCACGCCUUCGUGAAGCUCAUGGCCAUCACGAAUAUAACAUCUGUGAGGAGCACGUUCCCUGACGCUUCACUAGCAUCAGUGGCUGGAGUCGCAAAACGCCGGUUGGUUGGAGCAGCUGACAGGGAUGGAGGCCGGAAUGAAAGAAGGCGCCGUGACCCUGCUUCAAGCCCACCAAAUAUGAACUAGUGUUUGAAACUUGUGAACGUGUCGGUGUACAUAUACAAUUACAAGAAAUAAAGACCUGUAUCAGAA